UACGUAGGGUGCGAGCGUUAAUCGGAAUUACUAGGCGUAAAGCGUGCGCAGGCGGUUUUAUAAGCCAGAUGUGAAAGCCCCGGGCUCAACCUGGGAAUGGCAUUUGGGACUGUAAGGCUGGAGUAUGGCAGAGGGGACUAGAAUUCCUGGUGUAGCAGUGAAAUGCGUAGAUAUCAGGAGGAACACCUGUGGUGUAGACAGCUUACUGGACCAUUUCUGACGCCGAGACACGAAAGCGUGGGUAGCAAACAGG
rnacentral:rRNA from 1 species